rnacentral:rRNA from 1 species
GAUGAACGCUGGCGGUAUGCUUAACACAUGCAAGUCGAACGGACUCUUCGGAGUUAGUGGCGGACGGGUGAGUAACGCGUGAGAAUCUGGCUUUGGGUUCGGGACAACCACUGGAAACGGUGGCUAAUACCGGAUGUGCCGAGAGGUAAAAGAGAAAUUGCCUGAAGAUGAGCUCGCGUCUGAUUAGCUAGUUGGUGAGGUAAAGGCUCACCAAGGCAGCGAUCAGUAGCUGGUCUGAGAGGAUGACCAGCCACACUGGGACUGAGACACGGCCCAGACUCCUACGGGAGGCAGCAGUGGGGAAUUUUCCGCAAUGGGCGAAAGCCUGACGGAGCAAUACCGCGUGAGGGAAAAGGCUCUUGGGUUGUAAACCUCUUUUCUUAGGGAAGAACAAAAUGACGGUACCUAAGGAAUCAGCAUCGGCUAACUCCGUG